GCGGAAGUAGCUCAGUUGGUAGAGCAUAACCUUGCCAAGGUUAGGGUCGCGAGUUCGAAUCUCGUCUUCCGCUCCA
rnacentral:tRNA from 1 species